rnacentral:tRNA from 1 species
GGAGAGGUGGGUGAGCGGUUGAAACCGCAGCUCUCGAAAAGCUGUAUGCCCUUUACGGGCAUCGUGGGUUCGAAUCCCACCCUCUCCGCCA